AGUCCCGCUGUGACGGAGGCCGGCUCGCCGGGUCGCACGCUGCUGCCUCGGCUGCUGUCGGGGAGCCACCGUGGCAGUGCACGGAGCGCUGCUGGACACCACGGCCACAGGACACCGAGCACUGGAGGAAGGGAUGAGAGACUGAAACCAGGACAUGCUCAUCCUGAAGAUUUAUGCAUUUUGAAAACAACUCAGAAGAAGGCAGAGCCUGGAGAAUCAAAGCAGAAAGGAAACCAGCAGGCAACGAACAUCAGCAAUGAGAAGAAAACAUCGAGUCCUAACAAACUAAGUUAUAAACUUCUAAUACGUCCACCCCUUUAGUGUCUUUGGGCUAAAUGCCAAGAGUGGUACUUCAGAAAAAUUCAAGUGCUCCUCAGUGCUCUCUGUGCAGGUCGACACCACUUUAAGGUGACAGUGAAAACUAAAGCAUAAAUUCACACGCUUGAUCAGGGCUCUGUCUUGUCCCGCAUCCUGAGACAGUAAAGCAAAGUGCAUGCAUUCUCUAAUUUAAAAAACACAUUGGGCCUGGUACUUAUUGUAAAAGAAGAAUAACAUCGUUUUAUAACACAAGUAUGUUUCUAGGGACCUGAAGUUGUUUGAUAAACAUUUAAUCUUGCAAAUAAUAUGGUACCAGUAAUUUCCAAAAUUGCUACCCCCUUCUACAAAUUGCUUACCUUUGGUGUGGAGCCAGAUUCUGACAUUUAUCUUGGCAUCCGAUGCCAUAACAUCACAGGGCUACAGGCACAUUUUGGUGCACUUUGAGGCUGAGACAUAAUCAGACUAAUUUUGUUAAUAUUUGAAUGUAAUUCUCAAGAUGCUGCAAUUAAUCAUUUCUAUGUCUGCCUUUAAUGUACAUUAAAGUUAGGCAGCUGUACGUUUUUAGAUCUAAGACAUCCCUUUGGUUUCACGCACAUGUGAGUUAUGAUCUCAUUUGCUCUGACAGACAAUAGAGGCUGAACGACCUGAUGUAACCAAGAAGUAGAGACCAACAAUUCCUCUGCAAAGGGCCUACCUCGUAAUUGCCUUCUAAUUCUUCUCAGCUAUUUCCAGCUUUUAUUUGGCACGUAGAUUUUAGGCAUAUGUGAGCCACAUGCACAAAAUAAUUCGACAGUGCUUAAUCUCACUGCCACGUGACUGAGGGGAGCAAUGCACCUAGCUACUGCGGUCCCCUCAUCAGUUACUUCUGACCCUGGAGGAACUUUGCAUUUCAUUAGCAGGGCUCUUUUCAUCGCUGGAAACGCUUACGAUAUCUAUCAGUAACAAUGCCACGGUGAGGUAAGCGCUGACCUUGCCUUCUUUAAACAUUUGAAAAGCACAGACAAAAACACUCCUCUCACCGACUCCUUUCGUUCUUUCUUUUUUUUCCUUCCCCCCCUCCCUGUGGAGAAUACUUCAAAGUGCUGGGGGUGGACGGGUGGCUGGCUGUGGAACAGCAGCCUCAUCCAGGGCUCUUUGAAGCCAACAGCAAGGCUCCUACUGCUUUCAGUUCCCUCUGGAUCCAGCCCCGAAGGUGCAGCCAAGAGUUCAGGAAUGAUGAAGAUUUUGCUACUUUACCAAAUACGUGCACGUUGCUUUAUACUAAUCCUCACUGCAUUUCCUACACAGCCUUCCUGGAAGAUGAGGGUACACCUUGUUGAGUAAGGCCUUUCUAGAAUAAGGCGGCUGCUACCUGAUUCACUGGGUUAGGAGCAGGGGAAGAAAAACAAGAGGGAAACAAAAAAAAUAACAACAGAAUAUACACCACACCCAAAACACUCUUAAAAAUUUGUACAGUUUCUGUCUGGCUGGGCCCAGGUUCUGAUCCUGUGCCAAGGCCGUGCUGCUAAGAGCAUCGCCAGCCCCCAGCACCAAGGAGCAGAGAAGCUCUGCUCUCAUUAACUUUGUGCACCAAAUGUCUACCUGAACACCGGGCAGAAAGGCAAGUAAGUCACGAAUCUGGGUAAAUUCUCCACCAAAAAUGGAAACUUUCAGAAAAUGCUGCCAGACUGCUUUUCCAGGCCCUGUGCAUCAAUGAACGAUUUGGGAGGUAUUUGAGAUAAUGAAUGUAAGCUGUGGUGAUCACCAAAUGAAUUCCCCAAGAUAGGUAUGCUCAGAUAGCUCGGGAAGGGCAGUGGAGGGGGCUGGGAAGAAUUAGACUAAAACGUCUUUAUCAGAUUCUGCCAGGAGCAACUUUUCAGAGGAAAUUAAAAUCAAUCCUUCUAGAUUUAGGUUUCCACACAUUAAGGAUUAUAUGGAAAGUGAGCGCUCGUAAGUAAGCCCUCAUUCAUCCUUUCCAACAGUCUGAGCUGAAACAUGUGCUAGAUGAAAUAAAACAGAAAAACCACCGAGUCCUACAGCACUGCUUCAUGCUCUUACAUCCCAUCUGCAUUAGGAGCUGUGCUCCUGGAUGUCAGCACACUUCUCCCACUGCCAGCAGAGUCCAACCAUGCACCCUCACAGUGACAUUUCAGCAUCCCAUUGGUGUUCAUCAGCCUCCUGCUACAACUUAUGCUGCUGCUACCAGGUUCUGGAAACUUUGGCACAGCCCCGUGACGUCUGUACCUCUAAAGUCUCUCGAGCACAAAGGACAUCAGAAGA